rnacentral:rRNA from 1 species
GACGAACGCUGGCGGCGUGCUUAACACAUGCAAGUCGAACGGAAAGGCCCUGCUUUUGUGGGGUGCUCGAGUGGCGAACGGGUGAGUAACACGUGAGUAACCUGCCCUGGACUGGGGGAUAACUUCAGGAAACUGGGGCUAAUACCGGAUAGGAGCUCCUGCUGCAUGGUGGGGGUUGGAAAGUUUCGGCGGUUGGGGAUGGACUCGCGGCUUAUCAGCUUGUUGGGGGGGUAGUGGCUUACCAAGGCUUUGACGGGUAGCCGGCCUGAGAGGGUGACCGGCCACAUUGGGACUGAGAUACGGCCCAGACUCCUACGGGAGGCAGCAGUGGGGAAUAUUGCACAAUGGGCGGAAGCCUGAUGCAGCAACGCCGCGUGCGGGAUGACGGCCUUCGGGUUGUAAACCGCUUUCGCCUGUGACGAAGCGUGAGUGACGGUAAUGGGUAAAGAAGCACCGGCUAACUACGUG